rnacentral:misc_RNA from 1 species
UCCGGUUUGGCACCGGCAGUCUCCCUAGAGUUCCCGGCAUGACCCGCUGGCAACUAAGGACAGGGGUUGCGCUCGUUGCGCCACUUAAGGCAACACCUCACGGCACGAGCUGACGACAGCCAUGCACCACCUGUGCAGGCUCCGAAGAGCGCCGUGUUUCCACGGUUUCACCCCGCAUGUCAAGCCCAGGUAAGGUGGGGAUGACGUCAGUGCUUGCCU